UACGGAGGAUGCAAGCGUUAUCCGGAAUUAUUGGGCGUAAAGCGUCCGUAGGUGGUUAAUCAAGUCUAUUGUCAAAGCCUGGGGCUUAACCCUGGAGAGGCGGUGGAAACUGGUUAACUUGAGUGUGCCAGAGGGGGGUGGAAUUCCACGUGUAGCAGUGAAAUGCGUAGAGAUGUGGAGGAACACCGAUGGCGAAGGCAGCCCCCUGGGGUAACACUGACGCUCAUGCACGAAAGCGUGGGGAGCAAACAGG
rnacentral:rRNA from 1 species